UGGUCGUCAUCUAGCAUCAUUGCUGUGG
rnacentral:piRNA from 1 species